GACGAACGCUGGCGGCGUGCUUAACACAUGCAAGUCGAACGAUGAACUUGGAGCUUGCUCUGGGGGAUUAGUGGCGAACGGGUGAGUAACACGUGAGUAACCUGCCCUGGACUCUGGGAUAACUUCGAGAAAUCGGAGCUAAUACCGGAUAGGACCUUGCACCGCAUGGUGUGGGGUGGAACGGUUUGCGGUUUGGGAUAGACUCGCGGCCUAUCAGAUUGUUGGUGAGGUAAUGGCUCACCAAGGCGUCGACGGGUAGCCGGCCUGAGAGGGUGACCGGCCACACUGGGACUGAGACACGGCCCAGACUCCUACGGGAGGCAGCAGUGGGGAAUAUGGCACAAUGGGCGCAAGCCUGAUGCAGCAACGCCGCGUGCGGGAUGACGGCCUUCGGGUUGUAAACCGCUUUUAGUAGGGAAGAAGCCUUCGGGUGACGGUACCUGCAGAAAAAGGACCGGCUAACUACGUGCCAGCAGCCGCGGUAAUAC
rnacentral:rRNA from 1 species